GGGCACAUGGUGUAGUUGGUUAUCACGCUCGCUUAGCAUCUUAAUCACGUGAUCUGCGAGAGGUGUCCGGUUCAAUUCCGGAUGUGUCCA
rnacentral:tRNA from 1 species